ensembl:snRNA U6 U6 spliceosomal RNA
GUACUUGCUUUGGCAGUACAUAUACUAAAAUUGGAACAAUACAGGAAAGAUUAGCAUGGCCCCUGUGCAAGGAUGACACUGAAAUUUGUGAGGUGUUCCAUUAUUUU